rnacentral:rRNA from 1 species
UACGUAGGGUGCAAGCGUUAAUCGGAAUUACUGGGCGUAAAGCGUGCGCAGGCGGUUUUGUAAGCCAGAUGUGAAAGCCCCAGGCUCAACCUGGGAAGUGCGCGCGAAACUGGGGUGCUUGAGUGCUGGAGAGGGUGGCGGAAUUCCCGGUGUAGAGGUGAAAUUCGUAGAUAUCGGGAGGAACACCAGAGGCGAAGGCGGCGACCUGGACAAGUACUGACACUCAACUACGAAAGCGUGGGGAGCAAACAGG